rnacentral:rRNA from 1 species
AUUGAACGCUGGCGGCAGGCCUAACACAUGCAAGUCGAACGAGCGGCGGACGGGGGAGGAAUGUAUGUGGAAUGCCCGAUAGAGGGGGAUAACUCAUGGAAACGGUUGAUAAUACCGCAUACUCUCGGAUUGCCCAUAUUGGAUUAGCUAGUAGGUGAGGUAAUGGCUCACCUAGGCGACGAUCCCUAGCUGUUCUGAGAGGAUGAGCAGCAAAACUGGAACUGAGACACGGUCCAGACUCCUACGGAGGCAGCAGUGGGGAAUAUUGCACAAUGGGCGCAAGCCUGAUGCAGCCAUGCCGCGUGUAUGAAGAAGGCCUUCGGGUUGUAAAGUACUUUCAGCCGGGAGGCGUUACCGACAGAAGAAGCACCGGCUAACUCCGUGCCAGCAGCCGCGGUAAUUC